GGAGAGAUGGCAGAGCGGUUGAAUGCACCGGUCUUGAAAACCGGCAGGAGCGCAAGUUCCUCGUGGGUUCGAAUCCCACUCUCUCCGCCA
rnacentral:tRNA from 1 species